GCUGGUGACUAUACUGAAGGGGAAACGCCUGAUCCCAUUCCGAACUCAGAAGCUAAGCCCUUCAGGCCGAUGAUAGUCUAAGCGAAAGUAGGUGAUCGCCAGCU
rfam:Phycisphaerae bacterium L21-RPul-D3, complete genome.